UGGGGAAUCUUGCGCAAUGGGCGAAAGCCUGACGCAGCAACGCCGCGUGAGCGAAGACGGCCUUCGGGUUGUAAAGCUCUGUCAGGAGGGACGAAGCCACUCGGGUGAAUAGCCCAGAGGGUGACGGUACCUCCAGAGGAAGCCCCGGCUAACUACGUGCCAGCAGCCGCGGUAAUACGUAGGGAGCGAGCGUUGUCCGGAAUUACUGGGCGUAAAGGGUGCGUAGGCGGCAAAGCAAGUCAGAUGUGAAAUCCCCGGGCUUAACUCGGGAGGUGCAUUUGAAACUGCAUUGCUUGAGUGCAGGAGAGGAAAGCGGAAUUCCUAGUGUAGCGGUGAAAUGCGUAGAUAUUAGGAAGAACACCAGUGGCGAAGGCGGCUUUCUGGACUGUAACUGACGCUGAGGCACGAAAGCGUGGGGAGCAAACAGG
rnacentral:rRNA from 1 species